AUUGAACGCUGGCGGCAUGCUUUACACAUGCAAGUCGAACGGUAACAGGGAGCUUGCUCCGCUGACGAGUGGCGAACGGGUGAGUAAUAUAUCGGAACGUACCCAAGAGUGGGGGAUAACGUAGCGAAAGUUACGCUAAUACCGCAUACGAUCUCAGGAUGAAAGCAGGGGACCGCAAGGCCUUGUGCUCCUGGAGCGGCCGAUAUCUGAUUAGCUAGUUGGUAGGGUAAAGGCCUACAAAGGAAUCGAUCAGUAGCUGGUCUGAGAGGACGACCAGCCACACUGGAACUGAGACACGGUCCAGACUCCUACGGGAGGCAGCAGUGGGGAAUUUUGGACAAUGGGCGCAAGCCUGAUCCAGCAAUGCCGCGUGAGUGAAGAAGGCCUUCGGGUUGUAAAGCUCUUUUGUCAGGGAAGAAACGGGCGUGGCUAAUAUCCAUGUCUAAUGACGGUACCUGAAGAAUAAGCACCGGCUAACUACGUGCCAGCCGCCGCGGUAAAAC
rnacentral:rRNA from 1 species